rnacentral:rRNA from 1 species
AGCUAGAGUAUGGGAGAGGAUGGUAGAAUUCCAGGUGUAGCGGUGAAAUGCGUAGAGAUCUGGAGGAAUACCGAUGGCGAAGGCAGCCAUCUGGCCUAAUACUGACGCUGAGGUACGAAAGCAUGGGGAGCAAACAGGAUUAGAUACCCUGGUAGUCCAUGCCGUAAACGAUGUCUACUAGCCGUUGGGGCCUUUGAGGCUUUAGUGGCGCAGCUAACGCGAUAAGUAGACCGCCUGGGGAGUACGGUCGCAAGACUAAAACUCAAAUGAAUUGACGGGGGCCCGCACAAGCGGUGGAGCAUGUGGUUUAAUUCGAUGCAACGCGAAGAACCUUACCUGGCCUUGACAUACUAGAAACUUUCCAGAGAUGGAUUGGUGCCUUCGGGAAUCUAGAUACAGGUGCUGCAUGGCUGUCGUCAGCUCGUGUCGUGAGAUGUUGGGUUAAGUCCCGCAACGAGCGCAACCCUUUUCCUUACUUGCCAGCAUUUCGGAUGGGAACUUUAAGGAUACUGCCAGUGACAAACUGGAGGAAGGCGGGGACGACGUCAAGUCAUCAUGGCCCUUACGGCCAGGGCUACACACGUGCUACAAUGGUCGGUACAAAGGGUUGCUACCUAGCGAUAGGAUGCUAAUCUCAAAAAGCCGAUCGUAGUCCGGAUUGGAGUCUGCAACUCGACUCCAUGAGGUCGGAAUCGCUAGUAAUCGCGGAUCAGAAUGCCGCGGUGAAUACGUUCCCGGGCCUUGCACACACCGCCCGU